ACUGUCUAUAGGGAAGAUCUAAAGAACGCUUUCACAGUGGGGAUCGAACCCGUGACCUCCUGGUUGCUAGGCGGACACCAUAUCCUUUACGCCACAGCUACCUCAGGGUUUGGGGUAACGGUACAGUUUGUCAAGACACCAAACGCAAAGCCUAUCCCAAGGCAAUGCCCCAUUUGCGUGGUAAAAGGCAACACGACUGUGUACCUCCGGGUAACAGACCACGUUCGCUGGGUGCAAGCGCUGACGGCAGACCCCAUGAAGCCGUUGAUGUCAGAGGCACGUGCUAAGACCGGUCGGAAAGUGAAGAAGACAAAGCCGAGGAAUUACUACUCUUGCUGGCUGUGCGACCGGUCGGUGAUUGACCGGCUGCGUCAUCUAGAACAGGAGCACAAAAUGGAGGCUGGGACAUUCAAUUUUGUUUACACAAGAGGGCCGUUUCCGGAAAGACGCGAAAACUUCAGGAAAGGUGACCAGCAGACUCGCCACUCAUGAUGACUCGGCAUAGGAGGAUGAGAAGGUGGAGGAUGAGGAGGAGGAGGAAGAGGACUUUUCAUUCCUAAUGCCGAAAUACUGCCUGAGCCUGGAACCCAAUGCAAGGGUGAUGCAUGGUCGGAGAAGCUGCAAUUUCAAUCGUUGACUCAUAUGUAGACUACAUGUUCCUGCGGAGCAGGCCAGGUGGGUUGGCAAACGAGUCGAAAACACAAGAGGUCAACAUGAAGAUCAACCGGUUCCUGGCCCUGUCUGGCUACUUGGAAGGAGUGGUGUUGAGUGACAUGCUGUUGUGGAUGGGCCAUAUGGAGGUCCACGACAGUUCCUCAACACCACUCACCAGCUGAAGACGGUGCGGAAUGCACUAACGGCAAUCAAGAACUUCCUGAAGUGGUGCGAGGGAAUGGUCUAGCGGACGCCCGCACAUUGAACAAUGCUUCCUGACCUCAACCUGCCUGGAUAAGAGCCGUCGCGAGGUUGUUCGGAGGGUAGAGGAGAGUGCGGCCAUCCUGACGGACGCAAACCUGGAGCGCCACUUCACUGAGAGUGAGCAUGUAGUGAAAACGAUCAAGGUGAUCCAGGAGCCCCCAGCUGGCACACCUGAAAGAUAUUCGGGGAAUAAUCAUUUAACUGAUAGCGCUCUAUAACGCCUCCUGAACUGGCAAGUGUACCUAGAGAUUGAGCUGGAGACAGUGAAGGUGCUGACCUCUGUGUGGAACACUUAGAAGCUGGCAAGUUUUCAUAUUGAAGGGUAUGGUUCCCAACCGCCCAUCACACACAGAAUGAAGCUUGUCGUCUUCCGCAGUAAAAACUGGGUGCUGGAAGAUGCUUACUGCUAUAUUGACUGCUUCCGAGCGCUUCCUGGACCUAAAAAUUAUCUCCCAGCAGCAACCUCCCCAAGGUGUGACGAGAGUCUUCAAGUGUUCCAGACGGCUGGUGAUGCAUUUCAAGAAAAGCCAUCAGAAUCUUGCAAUGAUCUGUAUACUUAAUAAAUGACAAAACAACAA